UCUAAGACGUGGUCUGACGCUGAUGCGAAAAAAAGCGCAUCACGAGUUUACGCUCGACCAUGAAACAUAACGUUUGGCCAUGAAAACACGAGUUAACUCGUGACCGGUCAGCAAUGUGUUAAUAUUAAGUGAACUUUCGUACGUUCGCGGGGAGACGCGAUCUCGAAGAAGCGCGCCAAUGGGAGUCGUAAAUUCCUGUUACGAUUAGACUAAUCGACGCCAUGAAUCGUUCGAUCUCUUAUUUCUCGUGGGAUAAUAAGGAUAGUUGAUUGAAUAUAACGCUGUUAUUAACAGAUUCUUGCUGUUCCUUGCACUGCCCUCUGUAGUCUAGAGCACAAGUCUCGAGGGAUCAAGUUACUGCUCUGUCGUGAUGAGAACAGCUGAAGUUCGUUCUUAUGUGAUUACGGAGGAAAGCUCGGUAAGGGUGUGCCCUUUGAAAGAAGAACGUUCGUUGCUCACACUUUUCGUCAGGAAGAUAAGAAUGAAGAAUCCUCCUAUUAACGUGACUCAUGGCCGGUAUUAUUUAUGGAAAAAGCUAGCUUUUCCGUUGGACAACUAUUCGUUUGUCUUAUUAGGUUUAUUGAGGGUGUCUAAUGUUGCUUGGAACUUGACGGUCAGACAAUGAAGGACGUCGCACGGACCAUUAUAUUAAAAAACGAGAAACCCACGAAAUACAUGGCGACUUUUCUACGAGUACCAUCACAGAGAUACAGGUGGAAAACCAUAAUUCUGGAAAGCAUUUGCUUAGCUGUUCCGGACGAACUUUCCCUUCCUUUUCUACUCUUCUCUCUUUUCCUUCUGUCGCCGUAAUGACAUAGCAAAUCUUGGUUCAGUUCUUAUCGAAAAGAUCAGUGGCCAUUACAAAGAAUACUGCUUGCUGUACGAACCUUUGUCUCGUCCAUCGAUGGAUAUUGCAUGACGUUUUAAUUUAGGAUCUCGAUACAUCUUGCAACCAGAGGCUGCUAUACAGUUGUAAAUUUGGCUCACAGCCCAAUGUGCUACACGUCUAUUCAAAUGGAAACUUUCGUCGAUACGCAGCUCACAAAAAGAAGCGAGAAAUCUGGACGCGUAUUUGCGUGGCGACAUUCGGUGCGUUUCGCCGACAAGGGAAAUUGCACGUAUUGUUGGCGAGUACACGCGUGUUGCAUAACACGCGAGUAAGCGAAGAGACGCGGUAAAGCUGGGACAAUAAAAAAUUUUCGGUUUGCGUCGCUCGUAAAUCGGGUCAUUCGUCGAUGGAGAAAUUGGCGUACGAAUUAGGCUACCGUUUAUCACGAGCAGCGCUUCGAACAGUUUGCAUAAUAACGAUUUUCCAGCGACUUUCUAAGCCAAGUAUUCCAGUGAAAGGGUUAACGACGAUGUGUAUCGUCGCGACCAAAAAUGGUGCAGUAACCACAAAAGGGCGUGUUAUGCUCGUUUCUUUUCUUUUUUUGCCCCGAGCGGUGUAUGUUUUUUGCUAGGAGAUCGAAUAUCUACUCUGCUUCGCGAAGUCCGUUAGCGAAAGAAAGCGAAGAAACGCGUCUUUUCGGAAACUCUGGUGAAAUUUGUUUAUGAAACAAGCAGAACGAAACAUCGUACUAUCGUCACGACAUUGGUAAAAAGAUUUGUUGAAAGAUUUGUUCUCGAGUAAUUCGUAUUUCCCCUUUAUCGAUAGAAAUAAAAUAUAAGAAUGGAAUUAAUAAAUAAAUAAUAAACCAUGGAACACGACAUUAAACGUUAACGCAGCUCUGUAACGAACUACAUUCGUGCCGUUUAAUUUCCAACGAUUUGUUAAUUGCAACUAUUUCAAUCGUCUAUGUGGAACGACUAACUUAACCGGUUAACUGCGUUCGACGUGUAUACGCAUCAAUCCAGAACUUUAUUUCGUUGCGGUUGACGUGUAUACUCGUCGUAUGAAAGAAAAAAUUAUCAUUUACUGUAAGAACUGAAAAUUUCGGUGAUAAGUAAUACAAAGGACAUUUAGUGGUAUGUUUCCUUUAUACCUUCGACAAACUUGUUCUGUAUUUAUAGAAGAAAAAUCAUUUAUUUUCUUUGGAACAUUGGUUAUGCUGUGUACAAUGUAUCGCUUUUUCUAAAUUGAGUUGAUUAUUUUCCCCAAUGUAUCCUCAUUCGUGUACUUUACUUUAUUAUUUUUUGGCAAUUUUUAAGUUCUUAAUAGUGAUGCCUUUUUCAACAAUGAAUCGUUCCUUCGCCAAAAUUGAUGAUAGGAACACUUGCCCUACGUUCGACGUGUGUACUCGUCCUUGUUUGAUUUUAACUACGCAACGCGUAAGGGAUUUUUGAAAUUAAACUCCGUG